UACGGAGGGUGCAAGCGUUGCUCGGAAUCACUGGGCGUAAAGGGUGCGUAGGCGGCCGUGCAAGUCUGGCGUGAAAGCCCCGGGCUCAGCCCGGGAAGUGCGCUCGAAACUGCGCGGCUCGAGUGCCGGAGGGGAGAGUGGAAUUCCUGGUGUAGCGGUGAAAUGCGUAGAUAUCAGGAGGAAUACCGGUGGCGAAAGCGGCUCUCUGGACGGCAACUGACGCUGAGGCACGAAAGCGUGGGGAGCAAACAGG
rnacentral:rRNA from 1 species